GAUGAAGAACGCAGCGAAAUGCGAUAAGUAAUGUGAAUUGCAGAAUUCAGUGAAUCAUCGAAUCUUUGAACGCACAUUGCGCCCGCUAGUAUUCUGGCGGGCAUGCCUGUCCGAGCGUCAUUUCAACCCUCAAGCCCCCGGGCUUGGUGUUGGGGAUCGGCGAGCCUCCGCGCCCGCCGUCCCCUAAAUCUAGUGGCGGUCUCGCUGUAGCUUCCUCUGCGUAGUAGCACACCUCGCACUGGGAAACAGCGCGGCCACGCAGUUAAACCCCCAACUUCUGAACGUUUGACCUCGGAUCAGGUAGGAAUACCCGCUGAACUUAAGCAUAUCAAUAAGCGGAGGA
rnacentral:misc_RNA from 1 species